rnacentral:rRNA from 1 species
AUGAACGCUAGCUACAGGCUUAACACAUGCAAGUCGAGGGGCAGCAUGGUCUUAGCUUGCUAAGGCCGAUGGCGACCGGCGCACGGGUGAGUAACACGUAUCCAACCUGCCGUCUACUCUUGGACAGCCUUCUGAAAGGAAGAUUAAUACAAGAUGGCAUCAUGAGUCCACAUGUUCACAUGAUUAAAGGUAUUCCGGUAGACGAUGGGGAUGCGUUCCAUUAGAUAGUAGGCGGGGUAACGGCCCACCUAGUCUUCGAUGGAUAGGGGUUCUGAGAGGAAGGUCCCCCACAUUGGAACUGAGACACGGUCCAAACUCCUACGGGAGGCAGCAGUGAGGAAUAUUGGUCAAUGGGCGAGAGCCUGAACCAGCCAAGUAGCGUGAAGGAUGACUGCCCUAUGGGUUGUAAACUUCUUUUAUAAAGGAAUAAAGUCGGGUAUGCAUACCCGUUUGCAUGUACUUUAUGAAUAAGGAUCGGCUAACUCCGUGCCAGCAGCCGCGGUAAUACGGAGGAUCCGAGCGUUAUCCGGAUUUAUUGGGUUUAAAGGGAGCGUAGAUGGAUGUUUAAGUCAGUUGUGAAAGUUUGCGGCUCAACCGUAAAAUUGCAGUUGAUACUGGAUAUCUUGAGUGCAGUUGAGGCAGGCGGAAUUCGUGGUGUAGCGGUGAAAUGCUUAGAUAUCACGAAGAACUCCGAUUGCGAAGGCAGCCUGCUAAGCUGCAACUGACAUUGAGGCUCGAAAGUGUGGGUAUCAAACAGGAUUAGAUACCCUGGUAGUCCACACGGUAAACGAUGAAUACUCGCUGUUUGCGAUAUACAGCAAGCGGCCAAGCGAAAGCGUUAAGUAUUCCACCUGGGGAGUACGCCGGCAACGGUGAAACUCAAAGGAAUUGACGGGGGCCCGCACAAGCGGAGGAACAUGUGGUUUAAUUCGAUGAUACGCGAGGAACCUUACCCGGGCUUAAAUUGCAGAUGAAUUACGGUGAAAGCCGUAAGCCGAAAGGCAUCUGUGAAGGUGCUGCAUGGUUGUCGUCAGCUCGUGCCGUGAGGUGUCGGCUUAAGUGCCAUAACGAGCGCAACCCUUGUUGUCAGUUACUAACAGGUCAUGCUGAGGACUCUGACAAGACUGCCAUCGUAAGAUGUGAGGAAGGUGGGGAUGACGUCAAAUCAGCACGGCCCUUACGUCCGGGGCUACACACGUGUUACAAUGGGGGGUACAGAGGGCCGCUACCACGCGAGUGGAUGCCAAUCCCAAAAACCUCUCUCAGUUCGGACUGGAGUCUGCAACCCGACUCCACGAAGCUGGAUUCGCUAGUAAUCGCGCAUCAGCCACGGCGCGGUGAAUACGUUCCCGGGCCUUGUACACACCGCCCGUCAAGCCAUGGGAGCCGGGGGUACCUGAAGUGCGUAACCGCGAGGAGCGCCCUAGGGUAAAACUGGUGACUGGGGCU